rnacentral:piRNA from 1 species
UGUCAGGUGUGCAUAGUGCAGCUGC